rnacentral:rRNA from 1 species
ACGGCUCACGAAGGCGUCGAUCCCUAGCUGGUCUGAGAGGAUGACCAGCCACACUGGAACUGAGACACGGUCCAGACUCCUACGGGAGGCAGCAGUGGGGAAUAUUGCACAAUGGGCGCAAGCCUGAUGCAGCCAUGCCGCGUGUAUGAAGAAGGCCUUCGGGUUGUAAAGUACUUUCAGCGGGGAGGAAGGUGUUGUGGUUAAUAACCGCAUCAAUUGACGUUACCCGCAGAAGAAGCACCGGCUAACUCCGUGCCAGCGGCCGCUGUAAUACGGAGGGUGCAAGCGUUAAUCGGAAUUACUGGGCGUAAAGCGCACGCAGGCGGUCUGUCAAGUCGGAUGUGAAAUCCCCGGGCUCAACCUGGGAACUGCAUUCGAAACUGGCAGGCUUGAGUCUUGUAUAGGGGGGUAGAAUUCCAGGUGUAGCGGUGAAAUGCGUAGAG